GGCGCACGGGUGAGUAGCGCGUGGGAACCUGCCUUCUUGUGGGGGAUAACCGAGGGAAACCUCGGCUAAUACCGCAUACGCCGGGUGGUCUAGAGAUAGAUUGGCCUGGGAAAGAUUUAUCGCAGGAAGAGGGGCCCGCGUCGGAUUAGCUUGUUGGUGGGGUAACGGCCUACCAAGGCAGUGAUCCGUAGCUGGUCUGAGAGGAUGAUCAGCGCACACUGGGACUGAGACACGAACCAACUACAUACGGGAGGCAGCAGUGGGGAAUAUUGGACAAUGGGCGCAAGCCUGAUCCAGCAAUGCCGCGUGAGUGAGAAGGCCUUAGGUUGUAAAGCUCUUUCACCCACGACGAUGAUGACGGUAGUGGGAGAAGAAGCCCCGGCUAACUUCGUGCCAGCAGCCGCGG
rnacentral:rRNA from 1 species